rnacentral:rRNA from 1 species
AUAUCCCCCACACUGGUACUGAGAUACGGACCAGACUCCUACGGGGAGGCAGCAGUGAGGAAUAUUGGACAAUGGUCGGAAGACUGAUCCAGCCAUGCCGCGUGCAGGAAGACGGCCUUAUGGGUUGUAAACUGCUUUUGCAGGGGAAGAAUAAGGACUACGCGUAGUUUGAUGACGGUACUCUGCGGAUAAGCAUCGGCUAACUCCGUGCCAGCAGCCGCGGUAAUACGGAGGAUGCGAGCGUUAUCCGGAAUCAUUGGGUUUAAAGGGUCCGUAGGCGGGCUAAUAAGUCAGAGGUGAAAGCGCUCAGCUCAACUGAGCAACUGCCUUUGAAACUGUUAGUCUUGAAUGGUUGUGAAGUAGUUGGAAUGUGUAGUGUAGCGGUGAAAUGCUUAGAUAUUACACAGAACACCGAUAGCGAAGGCAUAUUACUAACAAUUAAUUGACGCUGAUGGACGAAAGCGUGGGGAGCGAACAGGAUUAGAUACCCUGGUAGUCCACGCUGUAAACGAUGGAUACUAGCUGUUUGGUUGUUAAGACUGAGUGGCUAAGCGAAAGUGAUAAGUAUCCCACCUGGGGAGUACGCACGCAAGUGUGAAACUUAA